rnacentral:rRNA from 1 species
CCUACGGGAGGCAGCAGUGGGGAAUAUUGCGCAAUGGGCGAAAGCCUGACGCAGCGACGCCGCGUGAGGGAUGAAGGUUUUCGGAUCGUAAACCUCUGUCAGAAGGGAAGAAGUUGCAUGGGGCCAAUCACCUGUGCAUUGACGGUACCUUCAAAGGAAGCACCGGCUAACUCCGUGCCAGCAGCCGCGGUAAUACGGAGGGUGCGAGCGUUAAUCGGAUUUAUUGGGUUUAAAGGGUGCGUAGGCGGUAUUUUAAGUUAGUGGUAAAACGGCGGGGCUUCACCUUGAUUGGCCAUUAAAACUGGAGUACUAGAGUACAGACGAGGUAGGCGGAAUAAGUUAAGUAGCGGUGAAAUGCUUAGAUAUAACUUAGAACCCCGAUAGCGAAGGCAGCUUACCAGACUGUUACUGACGCUGAAGCACGAGAGCGUGGGUAGCGAACAGGAUUAGAUACCCUUGUAGUC